AUGCGGUUUAUUAAUGGCAUGGCUUGAAAGUUCAUCAGCUCGUCGGAGAGAGUCCCAUUGAAUCCCAUGUUAAAAUGCCCAAUUUUAGAGUAGAAUUAAACCUGUUUACAGCAUUAUUCAAACUUUGGUUUUAGUCUCAAUCGCUAUGUUCUUCCUUCAUUAAAACUCUGAGGGGGUGAACUUUUUCGUAACUACCUCUAUAUCGCUAUAAUAAGCGAUAUAGUGGUUUGAAAUUUACGUGACGUCACAGUGAGCUGCGCCCUCCCUUCUCCUUACUUUUUCCUGUGUCAUUGAACACAACUCGAGACUUUCGAAACCUCCCACUCAGUAUCGGAUGAAUAACACAGUUUGAUGUUUUGCUUGUUCUGCUGACGGACACGUUAAAGACGUCUGCGCUCCCGUUUCUGUGCAUGUCCAGCAUGAGACAACUGGAAUUCAACCACAUUGAACACCGACUUCAGGGACAGACGAGCCUGAAGGACACAGCUGUGAUGACCAUGUUCUGUCUCUUAUGGCAAAGCAGAAAUAUAAAACACUGGGUUCUUAUCUAAAGUGUAUCAAAUCAGAUCUCCACCAUGUUGCUGCUGAGGACAUCAGGUGCUGCAGUUCUUCAUCUAUGAAGAGAAAAAACGCACUGUUAAAGAAUGUUUUGUGUUGUGUAUAAAGCACAACAGAUUUCUGAUAGAACUGUUGUACUGUGGUCUUGGUUUAUAUCCUCAUGGUGAAAUGUACAUAUUUUAAGUCCCUUCUGAUAAAAGUGCUGAAAGAAAUACAACAUUGUACAAAUACAUAAAAUGUCUUUCUACCUCAUCAGUACUAUUCAAGGUGAUAAUCUCCCACAGACCUAUUGAUAACAGUCCAAAUCAAGUCUUUCCACUUCUCUCAGUGUGAAAACAUAAUUCUAUAAUUAAUUUGAGAACUGUUUACAACACUGAUGUGUGGAGAUUAAAAUCAUACCUAAACUGUCUAAUUCACUGUAAAACUCCAUGACAUUCGCAGGCCAUCUGUAGUUAAGGGAGCAACGCAUGGAAUGAUGUGUAGAUUACUAGUUUGAUGAUGCAUGAGGAGAGGCGGUGGUCGAGUGGCAGAAACUUGGACUAUGGGCAGAGAAGGUCUCUGGUUCGUCUUUGGUUCGACUCCAUGGAGAGACAACAAAAGUCGAACCUGGAUUGAUCUGUCCAAAAAUCCAAGAGUCUCCCUACCCUCUCUAGUGCCCAUGAGCAAGGCACCUCACUCCCCCAACAUCUGCUCCCCCGAGCGCCGUACAUGGUCGCUCACUGCUCUGUGUGUCCUGCACCAGAUGGGUAAAAAGCAGCGAUUAAAUUUCCCUACCUGCAUGAGUGUGCCUUUGCAUGUCUGUGCAUGUGUUUGGGAUGAAUAAAUGGAUUUUAAUCUUAA